CAUGGAGUGUAGCAGGUAAACCAGGAAUCUCUCUCAGGUUUUGGUUUUCCUGUUUGCACAG
ensembl:miRNA Mir7065 microRNA 7065